UACGAAGGGGGCUAGCGUUAUUCGGAUUUACUGGGCGUAAAGCGCACGUAGGCGGAUCGUUAAGUCGGGGGUGAAAUCCUGGAGCUCAACUCCAGAACUGCCUUCGAUACUGGCGAUCUUGAGUCCGGAAGAGGUGAGUGGAACUCCUAGUGUAGAGGUGGAAUUCGUAGAUAUUAGGAAGAACACCAGUGGCGAAGGCGGCUCACUGGUCCGGUACUGACGCUGAGGCGCGAAAGCGUGGGGAGCAAACAGG
rnacentral:rRNA from 1 species